rnacentral:rRNA from 1 species
GGCGUGCUUAACACAUGCAAGUCGAACGAUGAAACCACUUCGGUGGUGGAUUAGUGGCGAACGGGUGAGUAACACGUGGGCAAUCUGCCCUUCACUCUGGGACAAGCCCUGGAAACGGGGUCUAAUACCGGAUAACACUCUGUCCCGCAUGGGACGGGGUUGAAAGCUCCGGCGGUGAAGGAUGAGCCCGCGGCCUAUCAGCUUGUUGGUGGGGUAAUGGCCUACCAAGGCGACGACGGGUAGCCGGCCUGAGAGGGCGACCGGCCACACUGGGACUGAGACACGGCCCAGACUCCUACGGGAGGCAGCAGUGGGGAAUAUUGCACAAUGGGCGAAAGCCUGAUGCAGCGACGCCGCGUGAGGGAUGACGGCCUUCGGGUUGUAAACCUCUUUCAGCAGGGAAGAAGCGAAAGUGACGGUACCUGCAGAAGAAGCGCCGGCUAACUACGUGCCAGCAGCCGCGGUAAUACGUAGGGCGCAAGCGUUGUCCGGAAUUAUUGGGCGUAAAGAGCUCGUAGGCGGCUUGUCACGUCGGAUGUGAAAGCCCGGGGCUUAACCCCGGGUCUGCAUUCGAUACGGGCUAGCUAGAGU